GACGUAGGGCGCGAGCGUUGUCCGGAUUUAUUGGGCGUAAAGAGCUCGUAGGCGGUCUGUCGCGUCGGGAGUGAAAACUCAGGGCUUAACCCUGAGCCUGCUUCCGAUACGGGCAGACUAGAGGUAUGCAGGGGAGAACGGAAUUCCUGGUGUAGCGGUGGAAUGCGCAGAUAUCAGGAGGAACACCGGUGGCGAAGGCGGUUCUCUGGGCAUUACCUGACGCUGAGGAGCGAAAGUGUGGGGAGCGAACGGG
rnacentral:rRNA from 1 species